rnacentral:lncRNA from 1 species
CAGGGCGCGGCCCAGGGAAAGCGGCGACGCCACCUCAGCGGCGCCCAGAGCCUGAGGCGCAGUCCCUCCCCAGGAGGGAAAGCGAGUCGCUUAGGUCGCUCAGCGAGAAGGUCGAGGGAACUGCGCGGGCGUCCCUCACCAGCCAGCCCUCCGGGAGCUGGGCGGGGGCUACACCCCAGGGAGUAGAGCUGAGGGCGGUAAAGAUCAAUCGUGGGUACUGGCGCGGGGUCACCGACAAGAGAAGAGCGGGACCGGAGGCUGGUGGGGGCCCCCAGGGCGGCAGGGGCCGUCGGUCUGUCUGUGUACUCGGCGGGCGCCCCGAAGUCUGGGGCCGCUACGGCUCCAGCUCCACCGGCUCCAGCCAAAGACUCCAGGCCGCACUUUCCCCUCCUCCCGGCGCCUUCUCUCCAGUGAGGAGCCGAGCGCGGGCGGCGCAGGGGGAGGGGCGGCGGCGGAGAGAACAGCCAGUUGUUUAAAAUCCUUCUAGAGCAGUUUCUAAUUCCCCCCUUGCGCCCGGGUUCGGAGGGGGAGGGGGGAAGGAGACCG